UGGUGCAAAAGUAAUUGCGGUUUUUGCCAUUAAAUGUAUUUUUCAGCAAAAACUGCAGUUACUUUUGCACC
rnacentral:miRNA from 1 species